rnacentral:piRNA from 1 species
UGAUGAGCUCAGACCUGCACUGCACC